GACCGUGUAGCUCAGUUGGAAGAGCAUUGGGCUAGUAUUCCAAAGGUCGUAGGUUCGAAUCCCAGUGUGGCCG